CCUACGGGAGGCAGCAGUGGGGAAUAUUGCACAAUGGGGGAAACCCUGAUGCAGCGACGCCGCGUGAGUGAAGAAGGAAUUCGGGAUGUAAAGCUCUAUCAUCAGGGAAGAAAAUGACGGUACCUGAGGAAGAAGCCCCGGCUAACUACGUGCCAGCAGCCGCGGUAAUACGUAGGGGGCAAGCGUUAUCCGGAUUUACUGGGUGUAAAGGGAGCGUAGACGGAAGUGCAAGUCUGGAGUGAAAUGCGGGGGCUCAACCCCCGGACUGCACUGUAAACUGUAAGGCUAGAGUGCAGGAGAGGUGAGUGGAAUUCCUAGUGUAGCGGUGAAAUGCGUAGAUAUUAGGAAGAACACCAGUGGCGAAGGCGGCUUACUGGACUGUAACUGACGUUGAGGCUCGAAAGCGUGGGGAGCAAACAGGAUUAGAUACCCCAGUAGUC
rnacentral:rRNA from 1 species